UACCUCCGAAACAGCGUUUCUUCCAGGCGGUGCCCGCCGCUCCAUGCUCACAUGCUCGCGUGUUUGUGCGGUUUUCCCACCCUCUGUAGCGGAACUUGAUUUAAAAAGAAGCAGGCGCGGCUCUAGAGGAAGAAAAGCACUUCUGCGUAAUCCGAUCGAGGGAUCGUAGUUAAUUAGUAAUUUUACAGAACGCUUUGCCAAAGUCGUGUAAUUGCGAGCUUCGCCUUUUAUUUGAGGAGGACAGUUGGUAGUUUUAUACCACGUUUGUAGCGUUCUAUACAUUCAGUUAUGUCUCGGUGAAAUAUAGAUCGAAGAGAAGGGCUGGUAAAAUGCAAAGUUGCGUUUAUACACGGCACUUAGAAUUCGGAAUUAUGCUUUCUAAAAUGCUGUGCUUUUUAAAAAGAAGUAGUAUUAUAGACUUGCUGGUUUAUGGUGGCACUGUGUGCUGUGCUUUUAAUACUCUUGUGCAGGUAUAAACCUCAGCAAGCAUCUCCAUCCAAAAAUGACGAAAGAGCUGGUUGCUAUUUCUUCCCUUGGGAAAUGAAGUCUUGAUUAUUUAGCCUAAUACUAGUGAAGCUCUUUUUGAUUCACAUCCAGUUAUAUCGUGGCUACACUAAAGAUGAAUCAUAUUACUGCAUGAAUAACUUUGGAGUGGAUUGUCUCUUGCAGUUCAUGUAAUGAAUGACUUUACAUGUCAUCCAAAUGGGCAAAGAGUUGAUGUAUCAGAGACUUGUUUAAAAAGUCAAGAUUUGAUUUCAUGUAACUGAAAUACAUCUGGGUUUUAUAUUUCUCACAUGUGUGUAAAUAUGAAGAGAGCAGUUCUUAGUGUUUGCCUUCCUACAGCCCUUCCACCUCAUGGCCUCAGGGCAAAGACUGCUUUCCCAGCCUGCCUGGUAUGUGGCAUUAGAUGCUACAGCCAUGUUCUUGCAAACAUAGGCUGCUUCAAGCAAGAAAAAUCUUUUGUGUACACGGGGGUUGACUGGAGUCCUCAAGAAGGUGGCUUAGUGCAAGUAGUAUGUUGAAAACAUAAUUCUCCUUGCAGAUCUUCGACACAACAUACUGCCUUCAGUGCUCACUGCUGCAUGGUUUGCUGUGCUUUGAGAUGAACAGCAUUUUCAUAAAUGUCCUGCUGCCAUUACAGAAAUAUUUUAUAAGCCAUAUACUGAGUGCAGCAAUACACAAGAAGACUCCAGUCAUGCAGAAAUACAGAGCUGGACAUACCUUGGUGUAUCCUAGUAGCUGAUGGCCUUCUUUGUUUGUCUGUGGAAGACAUGGGUUUACUGGAGGGAAAAAAAAAAUUAUUCUUUGUGCCCUGCAUUAUGGCUGCUUCAUGAGCGUCUGCACCUGGCUUUGUGAUGGAGGUCCAGCUUUCUAUCUGGGAUGUACCUAGCUCUUUUGUAUACCCCAGGAUUUGGACUCCAAAGCAGAACUUGGUAUAAAGUAAUUUUUACAAUUUCAGCUAUAUUGAAAUGCUUAAAUAAAUUAGUGCAUGGAUCUUAUAAUCCAUGGGUUUUGGUGGAAUCUCCAUAAAGGGAUCUCAGACAGGAAAUUUUCUACAUGCUUCUCCAUGGUGCUUCUUAGCACCAUCCUUACAGGAACUCUGUUCAAGAAAGGGGCAGGAAUGCUGCUGGAUGCUAUGAGAUGGUCUGCAGAUGGGAGCCAUCUGCACUGGGGUUUCAUGUCUUUGCAGCAGCUAUAGUCUUUCAAAGGCUUGCAUCAUGUGGGAGUGGGAAGGUAUCUGGGGGAUCUGCGGUGUGUAUAAUGAAUAGAGAGUCACUUGUUCAUACAGAAUAUAUCCGUACAGGAGAAUAGAAUAAGAUUGUGAGUUCCUGUCUGUUGGAAAUACAUGCAUGUGGGGAAAUAGCAGCCCCACUGUGCUAGUGAUAAUGUAGGAGCAAAGCACCCAGGAUGGUCUAAGGUUUGGGUAGGGUGCUGAAUUUUGUAGGGAAUGUGAGCUGGCUCAUGUAACUGUAACUCCUUUGUUCAUUUUGUUGGGGAAAACACAUUAACAUUUGCUUUGUUUCCAGUAGUAACCUGCAGUCUUUGUUUUUUGCGAUAUGUGUUUGAGUUAAACUUCUUCAACUUUUGGGGAAGUCAGGAAGCUGCAGACAGCAGAUGGAUAAGAAAGUGCACAGCCUCAGUACAGAGAGGGAGUGUGAAAGGUAGCCUGGCAUUGCCACCUCAGUUGAGCAUGUUCCUAUAGUCAAGUGGUAUAUGGUAUUAAAUAUUAUUCAUAACUGUUUUAUUACUGCUAAUUGUUUUCAGGGAAGUCUCCAAAUCUCCACCCAGUUUUCUGGCCAUAACUGGUGAAUAAUCAAGAAUUUGAUUAUGUGAUGUUCCCUUGAAAAAGCUGGAAAGUACUGCCAAGAAGCUAAGCAAACCACUUUGGCGUUGCCUUCACCUUGAAAUAUGACACAACAAGAAAAGGCAUCAUAUUACCUUUCCUUUUGGGAAUUGUGGCAGAUAUUGGGUCCCUGAGACUUUCCAACACCAAUUCACUGGUUAAUACAUUUGGACUUAUAAAAAAAUGGAUAAGCGAUCUCAUCCUUUGGUUUGGAUCCUUUGGGAUAAUUAGUUUACUCUGUUGGUUAUAGAGUGUAAAGUAAGCUUCAAGAAAAAAUAAAGAGCAGAAAGGACCUUCUGAAGUACAUGUAACAUGAA